GAAAUGCGAUAAGUAAUGUGAAUUACAGAAUUCAGUGAAUCAUCGAAUCUUUGAACGCACAUUGCGCCUAUUAGUAUUCUAGUAGGCAUGCCUGUUCGAGCGUCAUUUCAACCCUCAAGCCCUGGUUGCUUGGUGUUGGGAGCUUGCUGUGAAACGCAACUCCCCAAAGCUAGCUGGCAGAGUCGGGAUGCACUCUAAGCGUAGUAAACUUGAUAGUCUCGCUUCUGCAGUUGUCCCGGCCGUCUUGCCAUAAAAGCCCAAACUUUUUUGUUUUCUAUGGUUGACCUCGGAUCAGGUAGGAAUACCCGCUGAACUUAAGC
rnacentral:misc_RNA from 1 species